rnacentral:misc_RNA from 1 species
AACGCACAUUGCGCCCUUUGGUAUUCCAAAGGGCAUGCCUGUUCGAGCGUCAUUUGUACCCUCAAGCUUUGCUUGGUGUUGGGCGUCUUUUGUCUCCAGCUCGCUGGAGACUCGCCUUAAAGUCAUUGGCAGCCGGCCUACUGGUUUCGGAGCGCAGCACAAGUCGCGCUCUUGCCCAGCCAAGGUCAGCGUCCAGCAAGCCUUUUUUCAACCUUUGACCUCGGAUCAGGUAGGGAUACCCGCUGAACUUAA